GGGAAAGGAAUUCUGAGGAAAGGCAUUCCUUCUAGCUCACGCAAAGUUAAGUUAUAGUCUGGAUUUCACCUGCAUGCUGACUGUAAAUCUGGAGAUGAUGACUACUAUGAAAAUCUGUGUUGAGAUGAAGUAUCCUGAGAGUUCUAGGGGAAGUAUUUAUGGGAAACCUAUAUGCUGGAAUGACUGACAGGAAGGUGAGAAGCCAGAGCUCAAAGGUGGAGAAGAAGCACCAAGAACUGGUUCUAAAGGAAUAAGAUGAGGAGGAAAAAAAGAAUCAUGAGAUCAGGAAGAAAUGCAACCAGAAAUUGGUGAUGAAGAGAAGUCUGAAAUUGGUUGACAUGGCUGGCUUAGAAUAAAAAGGAGGCACAAUUCAUGAACAUCAGAGAUUAUGUGGGCUUUAUACUCAAGUAGACAAACUUCAUGAAAGAGAAGCUGAGAGAGUUCAAUAUAGGUGUAAUAAAACUAGUGCCAUAUAAGACGCAAUGGUGAAGUGGGACUUUAUAGUGGAAAAUAUUAUAUUCCAAGCCAAGGACUUGUUUUGUCUGUUUUACAAAUCCUGAGAAGUUUAUAUGCGGAAAGUGGCAUGAUCAAAGUUUUUUUUUAAGAUAAGUCUGGAGACUGUAAACUUCCAGGGCUGAGGGAUAGAUUCUGUGCCAUUAUUGCUGAAUCAACCAAUAGAACCAGCAUAGUACCUUGGACAAAGAACUUUACAAGAAAGGGUUUUAUUUUUAAUAUAUUCCAAGAAAGGAGGGAGGUAUCAAAACAGUCAUCAAGGAAGACACAGGAACAUUGUUAGGUGUUCUCAUCCUAGUUUCAUUAUUUAGCAUGAUUUGCAUUUUGAUUUCCAUAGGAGUACCAUUAUCUUUUCAAGGCCUAAAGUUUUUAAAUUCUGUCCUGUGUUUCUUAUUUGUUUUCAUGAAAUUUCAUGACUUUCAUACCAGGGUCUAAUACUAUAAGGUACCUUAAAUGUUUGUUGGAUGAAUAAACCUUUACAUUUGAAAAUACUUUUUGCUGAAGGCAGAAGAUCUUAGGACACGUUUGGAAACAUUUAACAAAUACAGUCUUUCUCUUUUUAACUUAGUGUAUACUGAAAUCUUGCCACAGUGCCAACAAUCAGGUAAUCCACCAAGCAACCAGCCAGUCGCCCAACCAACCAACCAACAAAAAUGUAUUUAUUGAGCCUCUACUAUGUACCCAGUACCAUGCUAAGCAUUAGAAGGUGUAUAGCAUGGUUUCCCUGAUUAAGGGACUGAACACUCUUUGGUUAUAUGAUAAUCAAACUUAAAAGGUUGAAUUGAAUUUAAUGAUGUUCUUUUGGUACUUUAAUUAUUACACCAAUGGAUGGAUAUUUUGUUCCAAAUACUGCACUAUAAUAAACAAGGUUCUGGGAUAAUAUUUCUGCAUUUGACACAUGCAUUUUCAACUAUUCUAGCUCACUAGAGUAGAAAAUAUUAUUUUUAAAGAAGACAGUCACCCAUUUUAUCUCUGCUGAAUAUCUUUUGUUAGUGACAAAAUAAUAAACCUCAUGUUACCUUGCCUUUCUACCUAUACCUUUUCGCUCUCUAUGACUUUUAGUUUUUGUAUAAUGCUUUAAUAUUCAUGUAAGUAUAGAUGACUAUGCUAUUUAAUAAUGCAACAACUGCUUCAGGGACGGUAUCCAUGCUGCUGGUUAGAGAAAGUAAGAGUAUCAGAAAGAUCAUGUUCAUAAAUCUGACUUUAUUAUUUACUUUUCCAGCUCUUUCCAUUUUUGAUCUGUAUAGCCUUGUGUAUUUUAACUACAAUCGUAAGACUGACUAGACUGUGAAUACGUACAUCCCUAUGUGUGCCUCUAUUUGUGUUGAGCCAAUGUAGGAAAGCAAACUAUAAAUUUGGUGUCUGAAUGUCCAUCCAUUGAAGACAAGAUAGCCUCUUUUCAAGUUAAGAGAAUCUUGUAUGACCACUGAGGGUGUGAGAUCUUAUUCAGCUUCUUCAGCAUCAUCUCAUGUGGUUGAUCACUAUUUCUCUUAAGCAAUUUCUUCACUUGGUUUCCAGGACAUGACCUUCUCCUGGCUUUCAAUCUUACUGUUUUUUUUCAAUGUUCUCUUCAUACCUUUUUUUUUUAAAGAACCGUUUCACUUCUCUGCUAUCUUUUACAUGAGUUCAUCCAAUCUUAUGGAUUUCAACAUCACCCAUAUGUCAAUUACUCUCCUCCAAAUCAAUAUCUCCAGGCACAAUUUCUCCUCUAAACUUCAGGUUCAAUUAUUUAUUCAACGCCAGAAGGUCCCAUAAGUCACCUCAAACUUAAUAUGUGAAAAACUGUUUAUCCCUGAAUCUUCCAUUCUCAGUACCUGAAACCACCAUUCAGGACAAAAACUUCAGAACCACCUUUGAUCUCUUCUCCUUUCUUAAUCUCAGUGUUCAAAAAUCUAUCUUGUCAUGGCUACCUCCAAAAUAUAUACUUAACCCACUCUCUUCUCUCCACCACCCCCCUUCUCGCAGGUAUCAUGAGAUCUUCCCUGGACUACUCUAAUAGUGUCUUAACUGGUCAGAGAGAAGCAGAGAGCUUCUCCCUUUUCUGCUGACAGUCUCUUCUCAACACAGGAGCCAGAUUAAUUUUUUUACAAAAUAUAAAUCUUAUUGUUCUAGUCCUCUGCUAAAUGGUCAUUCACCAUGUUCUGAACAAAAUCCAGGAGCUUUUCUGUGGCCCACAAGGUCCUCCAAGAUCAGCCUGUGGUAUCUUCCCAACUCCAUAUGCCUCCUAGCUACAUUGACUUCCUUGCUGUUCCUCAUCGGAACAACACAGUGCAACUGAAGGUCCUUAGAUGCUUCUAUUCCUUCUGCUGGUAUGUCUUACCUCACAUAACUGAGGUUUCUGUUCAAAUGUCCUGUCCUCAGCCAUUUCGUGAGUGUUCUAUUCUCUAAUUGUGCUUUGUCUUCAUAGCAUCUUUCUGAUAUGCUACUAAGAACAGAUUUAUCUCCUUUACAUUCUGUCUCUCCCAGUAAAAUAUUUCAUGAAGAAGGGACUUAAUUUACUGGGAUAUACUUAAUGUCUAGAAUAGUGUUUUACAUACAAUUUUUUUUUUCUCAGUCAAUAAAUUGAGAUAAGCAGAAUAGCAUUUAUUAAGGCAGGAAGCAGUUCAGUCUUUUUUGUCUGUCUCAUCCUCCCAAACUGAGUGGCCUCUGGUGGUUUUGGAAUACUUGCUUAUACAUCAGAGGGAACUUGGUAUUUGCAAGUGAACACGUAAUAGUUGUAGAACGAACACCUUUCUUCCCAAAUGGGCCAAUAAAGGAGCUGCUGCUGAGAAGCCACAAACAGCGCAGUCACCCUGUGAGGGGCUCAUCGGCCUCAGCACAGAGAAGGGAGGAUCACCUUUCUACCAGUGUGGGACAGGAGAAGGAAGCUCUAGCACAACAAGCAUAGAAGGCUAGGUAGCUUGGGCUAGUUCUUUAAUCUCUCUAAGCUUAGUUUUCUCAGCCAUUAAAGGAAGCUUGUGACAAAUCUUCUAUGCAGAAGAAUUACAAAUAACAAAUGUAGCUGUGUAAGGUGGUGAAGCGUAACGCUCUCCUUGGUAAGUGCGGGCUAUAGAAAAUGACUUUCUUUGAAAGACUAGAGUAUGAGAAGAAGGGCGGGGGUGGGGGAGAGAAAACAAGGGCGGUAAUAAUUUUACGGUGGAGAAAUAUGACAAACAGGACGUUAGCCAGGUGACAAAGAUUCACAUCAGGUGAUGUCACAUUGAUAAUACAUACUUUAGAUAUGAUGUGUUAAGAGUGGUGCUUUAUUCCUGUAGUUUUCCUCCAAAAAAUCCACAGCCCCAGUAUAACCAUGGGAAGUCUCACACGAAUCUCAGCUAAGGAAGAUUCUACACGACACCUGACCAGCCAGCAUUCCUCAAAACUGUCAAGGUCCUCAAAAGCAAAGAAAGUCUAUAAACUGCCACAGCCAAGAGGAGCCCAAGGAGGCAGGGCAUGAUGAGUCUUUUUCAUGAUGGCAGCACUGCAGUUUCCACAGUCAGUCAGAGAUGUCUCACUGCAUCAAACGUCUUUGAGUGGGGCCAUUUCACCAGCAUGUCUCAGGACGUCCCCUGGCAAGUUUCUCAGGCGCCCGUCUGUGUCAUGAGUGAUGGAGGGUUAUCUGCAAUACUUUGCUAUUUUUCUUUUUUUAGUUUUCAAAAUAAAUACUUUUAUGAGGUUUUUGCAGUUGUGCUAUUAAGUAUAGAUAUAUAAUUUAUUAAGCACAUAUGAUUUCACUAGAAUAUUUAACUGCAUUUAAAAUAUACCCAGAAACUAACAAUAGACUACAAUUAUAUUUCUUAUUCAUAUUCUAACAGAUAAUCCCUUUUACAAAAUGUUCCUUUGUCCCCUAGAGCUGUUACAUUGGAUGGAAAUGUACAAACUUUCAGGUACAAAGUUGUCUCUAUUCUCUUCUUUUCCCAAGGUGCACUGCAAGCAAUGAAUAAAAGCUUAUGUUUCCCUUUCUCUUUCAUCAACUUUUAGCCCAAUAGUGAAAUUGGGUACAUAAAAACAAAAAUUCACCUUUUACCUUGAAUUUCAGUGUUGAUGCAGAUGCAAUUAGUUCCUACCCUUCCUCCCAUUUACAUUGAGGGGAUUAGAGAAGAAGCUCUGAACAUUUUGAGAUCCUUAAGUUGGUUUCUAUGAACUCCGAGUGGUGCUAAUAGCAUUUUCAGAAAGGAAUUUUUACUUACUAGCUGAGAAGAAAAAGAACAUUGUAACCCUUUGAAAAGAGAGUUGCUAAAAGAGUUUUCUAUUAUUAACCUAUCAAACUCUUACAGAAUCAAUCGGAAAUGGGCAAUUCUGUUUUCCUUGUCUUUGCCUCAGCAUAUACUGUCAAUUAAGCCAAAUAAAGCUCCAGAAGAAGUGGUAGUAAAGCUGGUUGCAAAUCAAGAGGGAUUCAAUUCUAGAGAAGAAACCGUGAAACUCUUUUGAUUAAGAAUUUGAGCAGAACUUAAAUUCUAACCUCAGAGUCAGUAGAUACUGCUAAAUAUCUACAGAUUUUACAAACUAUAUUGAACAGCAGAUGAGCAAUCUGGGAUGCUGGCUGCAAAACUGAUGAACUCUGAAUCCUGGAGCUUUGUAAUACGUUUUUUUCUUUCUUCAAUUAUAAACUAGAUAAAUUAGUACUUUCCCUACUCUUGUUUCACCCAUUAUUGUCCAAGGAAAACUGAAUUAGCUUUCCUUAAACAGUUCUGAGACACUCAUAAAAGUUCCACAUAUGAAUUAUUUGCUUUGCUUUUUUUCCCAAAUGGAAUAACACAUAUCUUUUUUUUUUUUUUGCCUCUACAAACUGUCAGCUCUUUUAGAAUUGAACUGUGCCGCAUAAAACAACUACUGCAUAUUUUUUCCUUUUACAUCUAUUCAGGCUGAUUUUCCAUCCCAUAGCUUAGUGACUUAGCUAUCACACUCUACUGAAAAGAACUCUUUGAGUGUUGAAUGAAAAUCCACUUGCCCUUCUUGCUUUCUUCUCACCCUCUGCAGGGAAAUUUUCACUCCAGUGAGCUCUGAGAAGAUGCAUUGUUACACCCUGCUGAGCCAGAACAGAAGACUAUGGAUGAAUAAAUACCAACACAGUGUAUCAUUUCUGUACUAAACACAGAAUUAGCCACUGGCCUCUACCUAAUGAGUCUAUAAUCUAACUAGACAGGUUGACAACACCCAGAAGGGAAAAGAUAAGCACGCACAUCAAUGCAGUGAAUUAAAAUGGAAAAAGUGGCAUAUUAAGAUGUUUGUCAAUGUAAAAUCACCCUGACACUAACUUAUAACUGAAGCACUGUUUUGCAGUUUCCAAAAUAUUUUUAUAGUCACUGUCUUACCUGUCUUACACUAUGAUGCCAGUGGUUUACUGGGCAAGGAUAUCAGAUACAUACUUGGGUUUCAGAUAAUAAUGAACAGGGUAUAAUGCAAGUUCUCAGUAUUGAACUGUAAUGAUCCAAUUCCUGUAAGUGAUUUUUCUCUGAGGACCUCAUUCCCCAUUUCAACAUCUCAGCCAUGUGAGCAAACGGCAUUCAGGCUUUUUCCUUGGAGCAAAAGAGACGUCGUAUGUUUGAAUUGAUGUAUUACUAAAAACAAAAAAUAUGUUUCUACAUCCUAUGGAAAAGUGAAUUCUCUUGGGAUCAUGUCUCAACUAAAACUACAGUCCUUCUUCUGCCCCAGGUUUGAAACUGAAGCAGGAGGUAGUUUGGAAUUAGGAGCCUCAGAGACCUGCCCUGAAAUCCUACUUCAUUACACCUUAGUCUAAGUAGUUCGGCCAGUUUUACAUAUUCACAGGUUUCUUUUCACAGAAGAUAGUUUCCCCAGAACUGCAAUGAUCAUGAGAAAUCUCCUCAGAGCUCUAAGUUGUGUGCUUAGAUAACUUGUCUAUCUAAGUGACAUACUUGAAAAAUAUUACUUCCUAGGUCUUGCUCCAAGAAGUUCUGAAACACCUUUAAUUCAGUACUUCUUAAUAACAAAAGGUAUCAUUUCCUGGUGAAACAUGUGAAAUGACUACAAGAUAUUUAUAUGCUGGCUUUCUCCCAGCAAAACAUUCAGGCAUAUGGCAAGGAAAAACAUUCUAUCAUAAAGUACCAUGAUUUCUGUGCAUUGACCUUGAAGUUUUCUUUUUAGCCAGCCAGAUAGAGGUAUAUUGGAUAUGCAGACAGUUAUAUAGGUUAGUGAAAAGGGAAUAGAUAUGUUUUCUAACUUUCCCUAAAUAUCUUUUCCCAUUAAUAAAAAAUAUGGACUUUGU